rnacentral:rRNA from 1 species
UACGUAGGGUGCGAGCGUUGUCCGGAAUUAUUGGGCGUAAAGAGCUCGUAGGCGGUGUGUCGCGUCGGUCGUGAAAACUUGGGGCUUAACUCUGAGCUUGCGGUCGAUACGGGCAUCACUGGAGUUCGGCAGGGGAGACUGGAAUUCCUGGUGUAGCGGUGAAAUGCGCAGAUAUCUGGAGGAAUACCGGUGGCGAAGGCGGCAUCCUGGACCGAGAUUGACACUGAUGAGCGAAAGCUAGGGGAGCAAACGGG